GCGUGAUGUGCCAGGGAGGAGAAACCGGCUUUCUGCUAGGAAACUCACUCUCAAGACCAGGGUGCCAUAUGCUUUCUCUUUCUGUCUCUGUCUGUCUCUGUCUCCCUCUCUGUCUCUCUCCAUCUCUGUCUCUUUCUGUCUGUCUGUCUCUGUUUAUCUCCCUCUUUGUCUCUCUCCAUCUCUGUCUCUUUCUGUCUGUCUCUGUUUGUCUCCCUCUCUGUCUCUCUCCAUCUCUGUCUCUUUCUGUCUCUGUCUCUGUUUGUCUCUCUCUCUGUCUCUCUCCAUCUCUGUCUCUUUCUGUCUGUCUCUGUCUCCCUCUCUGUCUCUCUCCAUCUCUGUCUCUUUCUGUCUGUCUGUCUCUGUUUGUCUCCCUCUCUGUCUCUCUCUAUCUCUCUCCAUGUCUGUCUCUGUUUGUCUCCCUCUCUGUCUCUCUUUGUCUCUGUCUCUUUCUGUCUCUGUUUGUCUCCCUCUUUGUCUCUCUCCAUCUCUGUCUCUUUCUGUCUCUGUCUGUCUCUGUCUGUCUCCCUCUCUGUCUCUCUCCAUCUCUGUCUCUUUCUGUCUCUGUCUGUCUCUGUUUGUCUCCCUCUCUAUCUCUCUCCAUGUCUGUCUCUGUCUGUCUCUGUUUGUCUCCCUCUCUAUAUCUCUCCAUGUCUGUCUCUGUUUGUCUCCCUCUCUGUCUGUCUGUCUCUGUUUGUUUCCCUCUCUAUCUCUCUCCAUGUCUGUCUCUGUCUAUCUCUGUUUGUCUCCCUCUCUGUCUUUCUCCAUCUCUGUCUCUCUCUGUCUUUCCCCCUUCCUUUUCUCUCUCCCCCAUACUCUCUCUUUCUCUCUCUCUGACUUUCUGUCUGUCUCUCUCCUUGUCUCUGUCUGUCUAUCUUUCCCAUUCUCUCUCUUCCUCUCUCCCUCCUUCCCUCUUUCACUGUCUCUCUCCAUCUCUGUCUCCCUCUCUCAUUGUGUUUCUCUGUCUAUGUUUGUCUUUCUCUCCCUUUCUCUCUGUCUCUCUUUGUAUCUCUCUGUUUCCCCC
rnacentral:lncRNA from 1 species